ACAUUGGCAUCACUUACGAGUACAAGGACGCGAGCACUGGAAGAGUCGGGAACUAUUUCGACCUCGUUCUUCCCGAUGGCUCCAUUGGAUUUAGCUACAGAAAAGCUUCCAUUCGUGGAGUGGUAUGGAACUCCAGGGGAUCCCAUUCUGCCUGCCAUCAAGACCGAGCUUGGCCGGAUUGGAGGAGCUAUUUGUUAAGAUUUCGAGUUUCCAGACAUGAUGCGCCAGGCCGGGAAAAAGAGGUAGAGCGAAGUUAUGAUGAUGUUCUUUAAGUUCUUGGUGGAUGUGCUAAGAUUAAUAUCGUGCUCCAACCAGCCGAGACUUGGGGACCAACUGGUCCCCGGGUGAAAGAGGCCGAUGCUUUCCACGUUGUGGAGAACGGCUUUAGCUGGUUUCGAUGCUCCACGGGAGGCGUUUCAGCGGUUGUAGAUCCAUAUCUGCAGACAUUCGAUUACAGGGAAGGUAUCUCCGUCUCAGUCUUCGCCAUGGCACUCCCAGUACUCGGGAAGGCCUGGACGCUUUACCCAAGCUACGGCUUUCUUUUCGCUUGGCUAGUGGCAGCACUUGCUGCGGUACACGUCUCCAUGCUCUGCCUCCCUCUUGGAGCAGUGACGUACAUCCUUGACAAGUCCCCGCCCGCCUUUGUGUUCUACAUCACUGGUGACCGAUCCUUCAAGGAGUUUGAGAGGUCGGAGCUACAUUGCGUGCUGUUGUCAGAGGAAUCAAACGUGCUUGUCUAAGGUUCUGGUGAAGCCCAAUCUGUAAGGAAGUGUAUACAAAACAUGGGUGAUAUGGACGUAGCACUUGCAUUGA